CCUACGGGAGGCAGCAGUGAGGAAUAUUGGUCAAUGGACGAGAGUCUGAACCAGCCAAGUAGCGUGAAGGAUGACUGCCCUAUGGGUUGUAAACUUCUUUUAUAUGGGAAUAAAAUGUUCCACGUGUGGGAUUUUGUAUGUACCAUAUGAAUAAGGAUCGGCUAACUCCGUGCCAGCAGCCGCGGUAAUACGGAGGAUCCGAGCGUUAUCCGGAUUUAUUGGGUUUAAAGGGAGCGUAGGUGGAUUGUUAAGUCAGUUGUGAAAGUUUGCGGCUCAACCGUAAAAUUGCAGUUGAAACUGGCAGUCUUGAGUACAGUAGAGGUGGGCGGAAUUCGUGGUGUAGCGGUGAAAUGCGUAGAUAUCACGAAGAACUCCGAUUGCGAAGGCAGUUCACUGGACUGCAACUGACACUGAGGCUCGAAAGUGUGGGUAUCAAACAGGAUUAGAUACCCGUGUAGUC
rnacentral:rRNA from 1 species